rnacentral:rRNA from 1 species
UACGUAGGGUCCGAGCGUUGUCCGGAAUUACUGGGCGUAAAGAGCUCGUAGGUGGUUUGUCGCGUUGUUCGUGAAAACUCACAGCUCAACUGUGGGCGUGCGGGCGAUACGGGCAGACUAGAGUACUGCAGGGGAGACUGGAAUUCCUGGUGUAGCGGUGGAAUGCGCAGAUAUCAGGAGGAACACCGGUGGCGAAGGCGCUGCUCUGGGCCAAACUGACGCUGAGGAGCGAAAGCGUGGGUAGCAAACAGG